rnacentral:lncRNA from 1 species
GUUGUUGCCUGUGAAUGGUAAAGUUGUUGCAAAAAUGGUAAAUGUGUUGCUUUUUUUACCGAUUUGGUAAAGUUGUUGCCCAAAGCAACAACUUUCCAUAUGAAAAUUGGUAAAUGUGUUGUCAUCACCAUUGACAAUACACACGAGCCUGCUCCUGCGUGUAUUAUCGCAUAGACUUUAAAAGAGGCUACCAAGGCGCUUGAUGGAUGCGCAUGCUGCAUGCAUGGAGUCCUACAUAUAUACAUGUAUGUACAGUUUGACAGAAUGAUGGUGUUAUGGCAGAUGAAUGAGAUGAGAAUUACGAAUGGAGGUGCUCCCAGUGAUUCCAGAGCUGUUCUUCCAAGAGAGUGUCAACUAGCACUGAGCCUGGAUGUAAGGAUGUUCCUUCUGGAUCAAGAAGCGAUUUGAUUGUGGAGCCUGGAUGUAAGGAUGUUCCUUCUGGAUCAAGAAGCGAUUUGAUUGUGGAGCCUGGAUGUAAGGAUGUUCCUUCUGGAUCAAGAAGCGAUUUGAUUGUGGAGCCUGGAUGUAAGGAUGUUCCUUCUGGAUCAAGAAGCGAUUUGAUUGUGCUUACUGUUGUACAAAGUUGGCAACCGAGUAUUGGGGAAGCAGUUGUGCACACAACGUGUCAGCGUAGACUCCUCUAACCAGAUGGAGAGCAGACAAUGAUCAAGCUCAUUUUACAGGCUGCCCUUUCAAAUGCGUCCAAGAUGAAGAAAAGGCCAUUUCGAGCAUUGACCAAUGCUGUGUAUGACCCGAUGUCUAGGGAAGGACCCCUAGGAUGCUCAGCGAAGGCUUUCUACAAACAAUUAAUCAUGUAACACUAAGGAAUCUGUCGCUUGUCAACAAAAUAAAAUGGCAUUGUAUUUUCAUCUGUUUGCCUGUUCAAUGCAGGGACCUAUUUGCCUUCUA